UCUACGGGGGGCAGCAGUGGGGAAUAUUGGACAAUGGGCGAAAGCCUGAUCCAGCCAUGCCGCGUGUGUGAAGAAGGCCUUCGGGUUGUAAAGCACUUUCAGUGGGGAAGAAAGCCUUGGGGCUAAUACCCUCGAGGAAGGACAUCACCCACAGAAGAAGCACCGGCUAACUCCGUGCCAGCAGCCGCGGUAAUACGGAGGGUGCGAGCGUUAAUCGGAAUUACUGGGCGUAAAGCGCGCGUAGGCGGUCUGAUAAGCCGGUUGUGAAAGCCCCGGGCUCAACCUGGGAACGGCAUCCGGAACUGUCAGGCUAGAGUGCAGGAGAGGAAGGUAGAAUUCCCGGUGUAGCGGUGAAAUGCGUAGAGAUCGGGAGGAAUACCAGUGGCGAAGGCGGCCUUCUGGACUGACACUGACGCUGAGGUGCGAAAGCGUGGGUAGCAAACAGGAUUAGAUACCCUUGUAGUC
rnacentral:rRNA from 1 species